rnacentral:rRNA from 1 species
GACCAGACUCCUACGGGAGGCAGCAGUGGGGAAUAUUGGGCAAUGGGCGCAAGCCUGACCCAGCAACGCCGCGUGGAGGAAGAAGGCCCUCGGGUUGUAAACUUCUUUUAACAGGGACGAAGAAAGUGACGGUACCUGUUGAAUAAGCCACGGCUAACUACGUGCCAGCAGCCGCGGUAAUACGUAGGUGGCAAGCGUUAUCCGGAUUUACUGGGUGUAAAGGGCGUGUAGGCGGGAGAGCAAGUCAGACGUGAAAUUCCAGGGCUCAACCCUGGAACUGCAUUUGAAACUGUUUUUCUUGAGUACCGGAGAGGUCAUCGGAAUUCCUUGUGUAGCGGUGAAAUGCGUAGAUAUAAGGAAGAACACCAGUGGCGAAGGCGGAUGACUGGACGGCAACUGACGGUGAGGCGCGAAAGCGUGGGGAGCAAACAGGAUUAGAUACCCCAGUA